GACGAACGCUGGCGGCGUGCUUAACACAUGCAAGUCGAACGGAAAGGCCCCGCUUGCAGGGUACUCGAGUGGCGAACGGGUGAGUAACACGUGGGUGAUCUGCCCUGCACUUCGGGAUAAGCCUGGGAAACUGGGUCUAAUACCGGAUAGGAGCCAUUUUUAGUGUGAUGGUUGGAAAGUUUUUUCGGUGUAGGAUGAGCUCGCGGCCUAUCAGCUUGUUGGUGGGGUAAUGGCCUACCAAGGCGGCGACGGGUAGCCGGCCUGAGAGGGUGGACGGCCACAUUGGGACUGAGAUACGGCCCAGACUCCUACGGGAGGCAGCAGUGGGGAAUAUUGCACAAUGGGCGCAAGCCUGAUGCAGCGACGCCGCGUGGGGGAUGACGGCCUUCGGGUUGUAAACUCCUUUCGCUAGGGACGAAGCUUUUUGUGACGGUACCUAGAUAAGAAGCACCGGCUAACUACGUG
rnacentral:rRNA from 1 species